CAGAUUUACCAUACGGUUGGGAGCAAGAAACGGAUGAAAAAGGACAGAUUAUUUAUGUUGAUCACAUUAACAAGCGGACCACAUACUUCGACCCGCGGCAGGCCUUUACGGUAGAGGAUGUGGUGUUGAAGCCAAAGCGGUAUGAUG